GAGGGUACAGCCAAGUGGUAGAGCGCGUGCUUAGCACGCACAAGGUCCUGGGUUGGAAUCCCAGUACUGCCA
rnacentral:tRNA from 1 species